AUUGAGCGCUGGCGGCAUGCCUAACAUAUGCAAGUCGCACGCGAAAGGGGGCAACCCUGAGUAGAGUGGCGGACGGGUGAGUAACGCGUAGGAAUCUACCUGGUAGUGGGGGACAACCCGGUGAAAACCGGGCUAAUACCGCAUACGAUCCACGGAUGAAAGCAGGGGACCGCAAGGCCUUGCGCUAGCAGAUGAGCCUGCGUCGGAUUAGUUAGGUGGUGGGGUAAAGGCCCACCAAGACGACGAUCCGUAGCUGGUUUGAGAGAACGACCAGCCACACUGGGACUGAGACACGGACCAGACACCUACGGGAGGCAGCGGUGGGGAAUAUUGGACAAUGGGGGCAACCCUGAUCCAGCAAUGCCGCGUGUGUGAAGAAGGCCUUCGGUUUGUAAAGCACUUUCGGUGGGGACAAACAAGGUGGAGCUAACAUCUCCGCCUCUGAUGGUACCCAAAGAAGAAGCACCGGCUAACUCUGUGCCAGCCGCCGCCGUAA
rnacentral:rRNA from 1 species